UCGAGAAUUUUUCACAAUGGGCGAAAGCCUGAUGGAGCGACGCCGCGUGGGGGAUGAAUGGCUUCGGCCCGUAAACCCCUGUCAUUUGCGAACAAACCUUCCGACCUAACACGUCGGGAGCUGAUUGUAGCGGAAGAGGAAGGGACGGCUAACUCUGUGCCAGCAGCCGCGGUAAUACAGAGGUCCCAAGCGUUGUUCGGAUUCACUGGGCGUAAAGGGUGCGUAGGCGGUUGGAUAAGUCUGACGUGAAAUCUUCGAGCUCAACUCGGAAACUGCAUCGGAAACUAUCCAGCUAGAGGAUUGGAGGGGAGACUGGAAUUCUCGGUGUAGCAGUGAAAUGCGUAGAUAUCGAGAGGAACACCAGUGGCGAAGGCGAGUCUCUGGACAAUUCCUGACGCUGAGGCACGAAAGCUAGGGGAGCAAACAGG
rnacentral:rRNA from 1 species